rnacentral:lncRNA from 1 species
CACUAAUGAGCGGAGCUUUCCCCCGUUGAUGACAUGUACAAAGAAAAAAUGUCAAAGUGUUUCUUGUUGUUAUCAAGUGUGAUUAUAAAAAUUUUAAACACCAUUAGAGGCUAGUUAUAUUCACACACUGUUGCCACACAACUGUGUUUAAACCCCUUAUAAAAGUGUUUUUUGCAUGAUCUUAAAGAGGGCCUCCCUUUAAGAUGAAUGAAUAGUACCAUUUAAAUUAAAGAUGUAUACCUGCAGUGUUUCUAGAAGCAGCAACAGCAUGGCAAGUUGAAAUCGAGCUGAUACACAAGACUCAAAGUGACCCAAACCAUAACAAACACACUGCAGAAGAGACGCAUCUUCACUCUGCUCUGAAGUGCUGGAGAGAAGACGCUCGCAGAGGAGAUCUGAAGGGCUCCUUUACGACGCCCUGCGACCUGCCAGCCUUCAUUACAAGCCAUUACUGCAAAAACUCCUCAAAACUCAGACGAUUUUACAGUCAGACGGCUCGAAGUGCUUCAUCAAAAAAGCAAGAACUAUCCGGCCUCCUUAUAAACAUAUUUUGUAUUUUAUAGGUGUGAAAAUUCUCUUAUAAAAUCGUUCAUAUUUACACCGAACACCAUAUGAGUGUUUUGUGUUACAUAUAAAUGUUUCCGUUGGAACGCUGUUCUCUGAAUUUUCAGUUCCUUCCCUACUAGAUUUUUAACUUAUUCGCUAAACAUAAUAGCAUUUGUUUACUUUCGAUAAUUAAAUGUCUGUUUAUGCCA